UUGAUUGCUUAUGUCUCACACAUCUUGAACAAAUGUCUCCAAUCUUUGUCUAAGUUUUGACUAAGACAACAAAGUAAAAUCUAAAAAAUUCAGAAGCAUGAAAACCUUUUGAGACUAUUAAACCAGAUGAAAAUGAUAAUAAAUAAAAGAUUGAAAUUCCUUUUUGUAAGCUAAUGGCACAAAAAUAUUUUCUGAUUACAGCACAUGAUGUACACAUUUUCUAACUGGUAUUUUUUAUAUGUCUGAGAACUAAAAACGAGUUUAAUCAUCACUCAUCAAAAAUAAGAAAAUACUUCAUAUCUAAUAGAAUGGGUGAUCCAUACAGAGAACUGUCAUGUACACGUACACGGAGGUGAGGUGGAAGGAAUUAUGGAGUCCAGUCAAUGUCUACAUCUUUUGUACAAGGAGAAAAUGAAACAACAUCAUGAAGUUCACACCUGCAUGGUUAAGGAGAGGUUACUCCUUGCAUUCAUAUGUGAAGUCUAACUUUCCUGCCACACAAAUCAAUAACUUGUUAACCUUUCACAUGUACAGCAAACUAAG
rnacentral:lncRNA from 1 species